rnacentral:rRNA from 1 species
GUGGGGAAUAUUCCGCAAUGGACGAAAGUCUGACGGAGCAACGCCGCGUGAGUGAUGAAGGUUUUCGGACUGUAAAGCUCUGUUGUUUAGGACGAAAGUGCCUGUUGCGAACAGUUACAGGUAUUGACGGUACUAAACGAGGAAGCCACGGCUAACUACGUGCCAGCAGCCGCGGUAAUACGUAGGUGGCAAGCGUUGUCCGGAAUUAUUGGGCGUAAAGAGCAUGUAGGCGGAGAUUUAAGUCUGUUGUGAAAAUGCGGGGCUCAACCCCGUAUGGCGAUGGAAACUGAAUUUCUUGAGUGCAGGAGAGGAAAGGGGAAUUCCCAGUGUAGCGGUGAAAUGCGUAGAUAUUGGGAGGAACACCAGUGGCGAAGGCGCCUUUCUGGACUGUGUCUGACGCUGAGAUGCGAAAGCCAGGGUAGCGAACGGGAUUAGAUACCCCGGUAGUCC